rnacentral:snRNA from 1 species
AUGUGAUUCACCAGCUUAGAUACUAAAAUUGGAAAGAUGUGGAGCAGAUUAUCCUGGUCUCUGGGCAAAGAUGACAAAAAAUUCAUGCAGCAUCCCUUAUUUUU